CUCUGAGGGGGCGGGUAUUUCUUGGACCUAGGCUGCUUCUUAAGAGGAAAUGCGGCAGUGCUGUAGAGACCCUUCACCAGUUGGGCUCUCUGAUGUGAUCUCUAACAUGGCCCUGCAACUCUUCUCCAAGAAACAUGCAAGCUAAGUUGAUGUGUAAUAAGCUUGCACAGAGUGCUAAGGAGUUCCUGGCUGACAAAAUAAGAAGAGGGGAACCUCUAUCUUCAGAUCCAGCUAUGCUUUUUCCAAAAUGGCAAAACUUGCUUGUGCAGGAUUCGUGGAGAUAGAGUUGAGACAGGAACCAUCUUAGUUCAUAAGGAUCCUGGAGUUGGAGAAGCUAUUCUAGAAUGGCAUCUGGGAAACCUGCUUCAAUCAAAACCAUAUGUGAAAUUGUCACAAUGACACCAGCGUGUAUUUUGUUGGGAUGAGAGAAAAGAGAUCUAGCAACUAUGUGAAUGUAUGAUUCAGUCUUUCUCAAUGAAACACUUCUCAUGAAAAUAUAUAUUGCAAUACCCAUCAGCAAGUAUUAUUACAAUAACUUUAUUGAGUUGCCUUUUUGAAAGCAAAUGAUCUUCAGUGGGAGCCAACUUUGAAACUGGAAAGCUGUUCUAAAUUGUAACAAAAUAAAAUAUCAACAUUUUACAAUCUUCAGGAAAAAUUUUUACUCUUUCCACAGUUCCCAUCUUUUUUUAGUAAGACUCACAUUUCUGGUCUUUAUAUCAUAAAACACUUAAAUAAUACUGACUUUUUUUUUUUUUAAAAAAGAAGCAAACAAAACAACAACCUCUGUACAAAAAAAGUCAUUUAUAGUUCUGCUGUAUGAGAGAGGUUGAGAGAGACUGAACUAUGUUUGACAGAUAUUAUUCCCUUUGUUCACUGCCCUAGUGGGAGGUGCUAUAUUGACAUAGCUCAGGUGAUGAGGGUAGACCAAGAAAGUUAGUAAAGAAAGUGGAAGAGAAAGGAGCAAAACGUAGAAACGAGCAGCAAAACCUACCUUUGAACACAAAGGGAUGCUAAUAGAAGUAUAAUGUACCUUGAAUUGUUGCCAAAGGGAUUUUACUAGUAGUACCAGGGAAACAUUACAGAAAACCUUUGCAGAUAAUCAGAUGAUCAAACCUAAGUAGGUGUGAAUAGUCAUAGUAUGAGAUGCUUAAACCAUGUGCAAGCAGUAUAGUCUCCCAGAGGUAAUGCUGAGAAUAGUUUGCCAGAAUUUGUCUAGGUAUAAGAACUCUGCAAUCCACUUAGCUCACCAGCUGGGGGAAUCAGAGUGGUUACAGCAGUUGACUGGGGUCUUGCAGUUCCUCUGCCUGCUAAGGAUGGGCCUUGGCCUCUGCCCUACUGUGGUUUUGAGACGGACCGGGAGCACCUACACAAGGCCUUGUGUCCUGCCCUUCAUCAGGUCAAAGACCAUUUGUUGCACAGCAACUAUGUUAACAUUUUGCCAGCAGCAUAACUGCAGUGUAUGUGUACCUAGUGUGUGGUGUAUUUGGAUGAGAUUCAGAGGGCAAUUUUUUUGUUGUGUGCAGGGAAGCAUACAGGGGUAGAGCACUGUCCCUUCACUUUUUCAUUUUUGUAACCAUCUGAAGAGUUGGUCCCAACUGCACAGCAACUUUCCUGAAAUUACCAGGGCAAAGAUCUUCACAAAUAAGUCUCCUGUUAGCAGUUCUUUUCCAGUACAGAAAACCAGAAAUACUCCUACUCAGUCCUAAAUGUUCAAAAUCACAAGAAUGUUGGAAUGAAGGUUUAGAUUGUAGACCAUGUGUGUAUUUUCUCAUACAUGUUUUAUGUUGUCCAUAAGGCAAGACUAUUUGUUCCGUAUUAUAGCAGCAAUAACUGGACUUCUGGAAGAAAAAAACGCAUCCCAUAUCCAAUUAAAAAUAUGUGCUGUAUAUGUCUAUUUGCUAUUGGUAACUUCUAACAGCUGCCUGAGGUAUAGUUAAUGUGCUAACCCUCUAGUUUAGAAGAGCUGAGAACCAAGAGUUUUUGACUUGAGAGAAUCCGAAAACAUAAAGAUGCAAGCCUUUAAAAGACUUGCUGAUAUGGUCAGUGUCUGACCACCAUAACCUUAUAUAUUUUCAGCAGAGAUUUCUUAGG